UGCAGUCGACGGCAGCAUGACCUAGCUUGCUAGGUUGAUGGCGAGUGGCGAACGGGUGAGUAAUACAUCGGAACGUGCCCUGUAGUGGGGGAUAACUAGUCGAAAGAUUAGCUAAUACCGCAUACGACCUGAGGGUGAAAGUGGGGGACCGCAAGGCCUCAUGCUAUAGGAGCGGCCGAUGUCUGAUUAGCUAGUUGGUGGGGUAAAGGCCUACCAAGGCGACGAUCAGUAGCUGGUCUGAGAGGACGAUCAGCCACACUGGGACUGAGACACGGCCCAGACUCCUACGGGAGGCAGCAGUGGGGAAUUUUGGACAAUGGGCGCAAGCCUGAUCCAGCAAUGCCGCGUGUGUGAAGAAGGCCUUCGGGUUGUAAAGCACUUUUGUCCGGAAAGAAAUGGCCCUGGAUAAUACCUGGGGUCGAUGACGGUACCGGAAGAAUAAGGACCGGCUAACUACGUGCCAGCAGCCGCGGUAAUACGUAGGGUCCAAGCGUUAAUCGGAAUUACUGGGCGUAAAGCGUGCGCAGGCGGUUGUGCAAGACCGAUGUGAAAUCCCCGGGCUUAACCUGGGAAUUGCAUUGGUGACUGCACGGCUAGAGUGUGUCAGAGGGGGGUAGAAUUCCACGUGUAGCAGUGAAAUGCGUAGAGAUGUGGAGGAAUACCGAUGGCGAAGGCAGCCCCCUGGGAUAACACUGACGCUCAUGCACGAAAGCGUGGGGAGCAAACAGGAUUAGAUACCCUGGUAGUCCACGCCCUAAACGAUGUCAACUAGUUGUUGGGGAUUCAUUUCCUUAGUAACGUAGCUAACGCGUGAAGUUGACCGCCUGGGGAGUACGGUCGCAAGAUUAAAACUCAAAGGAAUUGACGGGGACCCGCACAAGCGGUGGAUGAUGUGGAUUAAUUCGAUGCAACGCGAAAAACCUUACCUACCCUUGACAUGCCACUAACGAAGCAGAGAUGCAUUAGGUGCUCGAAAGAGAAAGUGGACACAGGUGCUGCAUGGCUGUCGUCAGCUCGUGUCGUGAGAUGUUGGGUUAAGUCCCGCAACGAGCGCAACCCUUGUCUCUAGUUGCUACGAAAGGGCACUCUAGAGAGACUGCCGGUGACAAACCGGAGGAAGGUGGGGAUGACGUCAAGUCCUCAUGGCCCUUAUGGGUAGGGCUUCACACGUCAUACAAUGGUGCAUACAGAGGGUUGCCAAGCCGCGAGGUGGAGCUAAUCCCAGAAAAUGCAUCGUAGUCCGGAUCGUAGUCUGCAACUCGACUACGUGAA
rnacentral:rRNA from 1 species